rnacentral:sRNA from 1 species
UUUUUGCAGAGGUUCCAGUCCACCAAUUCUUAUAGUGAAACAGAUCAAGAAAGAAGAAAGUAAAGAGAGCUCUUCAGAACUCUAAAUGUCACUGUGACAUUACCAUUGAGGUGAAGUUAUUGAAAUAUUAUUCAACCUUUGUAAAAUGUUUUUUUGUUUGUGAAUUGUUUUGUCAUUACAGCUGUCUGAUGACUGAUUUUGUUUAUGUAGUUGUUUCAAGCCAUGUGUGUUUGUGCCUUGUUUUGUCAUGACGAUGUCAAAUGAACUUUUUUGUUUAACAUCUUUGUACCUUCUAUUUAAUGCAUGUCUCUAAAAAGUUUAGUUUGAUCUUUCAGUUUAGUUUUUGCUUAAACUUUGGAGAAAAGUCUAAUUCUUUUAGUUUGAUAGUAUCUUUUGCAGAGGUUUCCUGUCCAAGACAUUCUUAUAUGUAAGUGAAAUAGGUCAAGAAACAAGAAAGUCAAGAGAGCUAGUCAGAACUCUACAAGUCACUGUGAUAUUUCCAUUAAGGGGAAGUUAUUGAAAUAUUAUUCAACAAUCGUAAAAUAGCCAUAAAAUCCUAAUACAAACUUAAGAUUAAAAGUA